rnacentral:rRNA from 1 species
UACAGAGGUCUCAAGCGUUGUUCGGAUUCAUUGGGCGUAAAGGGUGCGUAGGUGGCGCUGUAAGUCGGGUGUGAAAUCCUGAGGCUUAACCUCGGAACUGCAUUCGAUACUGCGGUGCUUGAGGACUGGAGAGGAGACUGGAAUUCAUGGUGUAGCAGUGAAAUGCGUAGAGAUCAUGAGGAACACCCGUGGCGAAAGCGGCUCUCUGGGACGGUACUGACGCUGAGACGCGAAAGCGUGGGGAGCAAACAGG